AUUGAACGCUGGCGGCAUGCCUUACACAUGCAAGUCGAGCGGAGCGAGGGUGCUUGCACCUUAGCUUAGCGGCGGACGGGUGAGUAAUGCUUAGGAAUCUGCCUAUUAGUGGGGGACAACAUUCCGAAAGGGAUGCUAAUACCGCAUACGCCCUACGGGGGAAAGCAGGGGAUCUUCGGACCUUGCGCUAAUAGAUGAGCCUAAGUCGGAUUAGCUAGUUGGUGGGGUAAAGGCCUACCAAGGCGACGAUCUGUAGCGGGUCUGAGAGGAUGAUCCGACACACUGGGACUGAGACACGGCCCAGACUCCUACGGGAGGCAGCAGUGGGGAAUAUUGGACAAUGGGGGGAACCCUGAUCCAGCCAUGCCGCGUGUGUGAAGAAGGCCUUUUGGUUGUAAAGCACUUUAAGCGAGGAGGAGGCGCUCUAGGAUAAUACCCUAGAUGCGUGGACGUUACUCGCAGAAUAAGCACCGGCUAACUCUGUGCCAGCAGCCGCCGUAA
rnacentral:rRNA from 1 species